rnacentral:lncRNA from 1 species
ACAGAAGGCGACGCCUAGGGCUGUGUUGUCCCGGAAGUGCCUUCUCUCCUCCCGGGUCUGCGCGGACGCGGCCUCCUUACCUCAUUUGUCCUCGCCCCUCCCCGUCCCUCUACGCGUUUUGGUCCCUGUUUGGUGCUUUCUGUUUGCAGCUACGGCAGUGAGCUGGAGUGUAGUGGCGUGAUCAUAGCUCACUGUCAACUUUGAACACUUGGGCUCAAGCUAUCCUCCCUCAGCCUCCCAAGGUGGGAGGUACAGAUCUGGGCAUAGGAACCAAUCAGAAACAAUCGCUUCAGCAAUCAAGACCAUUGUUCAUCAUGGAGGAACCCAUGGAUACCUCUGAGCCUCUAUCUGCAUUACCAUUCACUGGGCAGCAGUCUUUUGAGCCAAGUGGCAAAUUUGGACAGUAUCCAUCGAUGCAGAUGAACCACAUCCAGGCACUGGGGAAGUGGAGGACAUAGAACAGCUCAAUCAGUGUUUGAUCCAACACUUCCAUCUCAUUAAGACAAGUUUGAUUUUUCUUUGCUUUUUAUUUCAUGGAAUACAUGAGAAUCUCUUAACUGUUGGAGUUUCCAAGGAGGCAUACCUCAUGACUUCAGUUAAUGGAAAGAACAAAACUAAAAUGCUGUAUGGCCAAAGCCACAAAGGGAAGGAUCCACAAUUUACAUUCUUGGAGCUAUCAUCUGUACUGUACUGUUGUGAUCUACUGAUUGGCAUUGGCAUAGUAGUAGGGGUCAAGUGACAGAAUCCGUGCCAGCAGUCUCCAGGUUCAGAAGCAAUUCAAGACCCUGAUGAUAGCUCUCCAGCAACCAACACAUGGUGAUUGUGCCAACUUGUUGCUCAGUUAUAAUGCAGGGCCAGUGAUUGGUUUAAGUGAAGACCAUGGUUGAGAUCAUUUGUCUUUGGUCUAAUAGAAUUUGAGUCUAGUAGAAUUUGAGUCUCCAGGGAAAGAGCUACUUGACCAAAUUAAACUAGUAGCAGGUAGAGCAUGAAUGACAGCAUAUUAUACCAUCAAGAUGUUCUUAGAGCAGUGUAUGGAUGGAUCGAUUGUACUGCCAUCAGUUGUGACUGACGUUGUAUUCAAGGAGAAAGAGAAACUUGUUUAGAAAGCACUUUGAAAGUUUUUUGAGUACGGGGGUGCCCUGUAUCACCCCGUUAUGGUUGAACUUUCUCCUUCAAAAUUACCAGACUUGGCAGCAGUGGCAAAUUAUUGGGCUAAAAGACUUAAUCAGACAUAUUCUGGGUUCAAGGCUCCUAAUAUAAUACCUGGUGCAAACAUUAUACUUCCACUCAUUCAGAUGGUUGCAUCCUGCCAGGCAUCCAGUGGGACUGGGAAUAUGGACACUUGAACAUUAAACAUCCUGAAGAAUUUUGGAAUGACAGGUUACAAGUGAACAUAAUCAGUUCUCUAUAUUAAAAAAAAAAAAAGAUUUGGGCAUAGAUUGGGCUCACAUAAUCUUUAGAGAGAUUUUUUCAUUUUUGUGAAAGUACAGAAAUUCUUAACUGCUUAUGAAAUGCUGAUUGUUAAACAGCAUCCACAGCUAUUUUGUGUUGUUUCCCUGACCCCACCCUGAAGAAAAGAAAAAUUAUGGCAUAUUGAAAACAGCAGUAUGAUGUAAGAGAAAAGAUCACAAA